rnacentral:rRNA from 1 species
GUGGGGAAUCUUAGACAAUGGGGGCAACCCUGAUCUAGCCAUGCCGCGUGAGUGAUGAAGGCCUUAGGGUUGUAAAGCUCUUUCAGUGGGGAAGAUAAUGACGGUACCCACAGAAGAAGCCCCGGCUAACUCCGUGCCAGCAGCAGCGGUAAUACGGAGGGGGCUAGCGUUGUUCGGAAUUUCUGGGCGUAAAGCGCACGUAGGCGGAUCGGAAAGUUGGGGGUGAAAUCCCAGGGCUCAACCCUGGAACUGCCUUCAAAACUAUCGGUCUGGAGUCCGAGUGAGGUGAGUGGAAUUCCGAGUGUAGAGGUGAAAUUCGUAGAUAUUCGGAGGAACACCAGUGGCGAAGGCGGCUCACUGGCUCGGUACUGACGCUGAGGUGCGAAAGCGUGGGGAGCAAACAGGAUUAGAAACCCUAGUAGUCC